UGGGGGAUAUUGCACAAUGGGCGAAAGCCUGAUGCAGCGACGCCGCGUGGGGGAUGAAGGCCUUCGGGUUGUAAACUUCUUUUGCUCUGAACAAGGCAUGCUAAUGGGUGUGUUGAGUGUAGGGGUUGAUUAGCGCCGGCUAACUACGUGCCAGCAGCCGCGGUAAUACGUAGGGCGCGAGCGUUGUCCGGAAUUAUUGGGCGUAAAGGGCUUGUAGGUGGCUGGUUGCGUCUGUCGUGAAAGCUCAUGGCUUAACUGUGGGUUUGCGGUGGGUACGGGCUGGCUUGAGUGCAGUAGGGGAGGCUGGAAUUCCUGGUGUAGCGGUGGAAUGCGCAGAUAUCAGGAGGAAUACCGGUGGCGAAGGCGGGACUCUGGGCUGUUACUGACACUGAGGAGCGAAAGCAUGGGGAGCGAACAGG
rnacentral:rRNA from 1 species